UACGGAGGGGGCGAGCGUUAUUCGGAAUUAUUGGGCGUAAAGGGCGCGUAGGCGGCUGUACAAGUCAAAGGUGAAAUCCCUCGGCUCAACUGAGGAACUGCCUUUGAAACUGUACGGCUUGAGGCCGGGAGGGGGUAGCGGAAUUCCCAGUGUAGCGGUGAAAUGCGCAGAUAUCAGGAGGAACACCAAUGGCGAAGGCAGCUCGCUGGGACGUGACUGACGCUGAGACGCGAAAGCGUGGGGAGCAAACAGG
rnacentral:rRNA from 1 species